CUGUGGUGUUGGAGAAGACUCUUGAGAGUCCCUUGGACUGCAAGGAGAUCCAACCAGUCCAUUCUGAAGGAGAUCAGCCCUGGGAUUUCUUUGAAAGGAAUGAUGCUAAAGCUGACACUCCAGUACUUUGGCCACCUCAUGCGAAGAGUUGACUAAUUGGAAAAGACUGAUGCUGGGAGGGGUUGGGGGCAGGAGGAGAAGGGGACGACAGAGGAUGAGAUGGCUGGAUGGCAUCACCGACUCGAUGGACAUGAGUCUGAGUGAACUCCGGGAGUUGGUGAUGGACAGGGAGGCCUGGCAUGCUGUGAUUCAUGGGGUCGCAAAGAGUCAGACAUGACUGAGCAACUGAUCUGAUCUGAACUGAGGUGGCGGGCGUGGACAGAGCUGUAUGAGCUUCCUCUGAAUCUCAGCCACCUGCCUUCUGCCUCUUCAUCCACACCUGGUGAUGGCAGAGGAUGCCACCGUCACUGCCCUCCCUCCCACAGGCACUGCGUAAGUCCUGCUUGCCAUAGUCAGUAUGCGGGAGGGCCGAGGCGAGGAUGCAGUGCUGUCUCUUGAACCUGAGAAGCACCCAUUGAGUGCCAGCUGGGUGCCGGGUGCCCUGGCCGACACGGGGCUCACAGAACUGAAUAUGGAACCCUGGCCUGCGACCGGCUCACUGAUUUGUUCACCUUAAACUGGAACAUUAAAAGCAAACAGAAGAGUUUCCUUAAGAGACUGAGCUGUCAGGUGCAUUUUGCUGAUCUUCAGGGAAAAAAGAAAGGAAACGUGGACUCUUCGGUGUCAUUCUCUAAAGCCCUGCAGUUGACCUUAGGCUCUUCAGUGCAACAUGUUGUCUUGAGGCUCUGUGCUGUACCAUGUAGGGGUCGAGGAUCUUGUCGAGCUGAUUCAGUGUCGGAUGAGGCAGGCUGGUACUUGAAAGGUAAACUCACCUGACCAAGCUCACAGGGUAAGUCAGUAAGUAGGUGUGGGUCACAGAGUCGAAGCGGAACAGUUGGACACGACUUAGUGGCUGAACAACAACAACAAAAGGAAUCGACUACACACCCUUUAGGGCUCCCCUGGUGGCUCAGAGGGUAAAUCACCUGCCUGCAAUGUGGGAGACCCGGGUUCAGUCCUUGGGUUGUGAAGAUCCCCUGGAGAAGGAAACGGUGACCCACUCCAGAAUUCUUGCCUGGAGAACCCCAUAGACGGAGGAGCCUAGUGGGCUACAGUCCACAGGGUCACAAAGAGCUGGACACGACUGAGCGACUUCACUUUCUUUCUUUCUUUGCACAGCCUUUAAGAGCUUCCCUGGUGGCUCAGUGGUAAACAAUCCGUCUGCCAAUGCAAGAGAUAUGAGUUCAAUCCCUGGGUUGGCAGCAUCACCACUGGGAGGCUGGUGGAGAUGCAGAAUCUUCAGGCUCUCUGAAGACCCCAGUCCUCCUGAGAAUCUUCAUUUUUACAAGGCGUUUGUUGGGUUGCACACUGGAGUUUGAGCAAUACCGCCCUAGAACACAG
rnacentral:lncRNA from 1 species